AGCAGCCGCGGUAAUUCCAGCUCCAAUAGCGUAUAUUAAAGUUGUUGCAGUUAAAAAGCUCGUAGUUGAAUUUCGGGAUCAGUACGCUGGUCGUGCCUUUGGUAUGUACUGGUGUCACUGAUUCCUCCCUUCUGAAGAACCGUUAUGCCAUUUAUUUGGUGUGGCGGGAAAUCAGGACUGUUACUUUGAAAAAUUAGAGUGUUUAAAGCAGGCUCGCGCUUGAAUACAUUAGCAUGGAAUAAUGAAAUAGGACGUUUGAUCUUAUUUUGUUGGUUUCUAGGAUCGACGUAAUGAUUAAUAGGGAUAGUUGGGGGCAUUAGUAUUCAAUUGUCAGAGGUGAAAUUCUUGGAUUUAUUGAAGACUAACUACUGCGAAAGCAUUUGCCAAGGAUGUUUUCAUUAAUCAAGAACGAAAGUUAGGGGAUCGAAGACGAUCAGAUACCGUCGUAGUCUUAACCAUAAACUAUGCCGACUAGGGAUCGGAUGAUGUUAAUUUUUAAUGACUC
rnacentral:rRNA from 1 species